GGCCUUGCUAUGAUUAUAAAAAUUUAUCGUUCUGAAUGCGAUUACCAUUGCAUGACAGACUUUUACACCCAUAGAAUAUGAGCAGU